UAUAUUAUAGGCCCAAUGAAGCACGCAUGCCCCAGUGAUUAUUCUAUGUCCGUGUGCCAGCAAGCCAAGCUCCGGCCGGCCAGUUGCAUCAAUAUUCAACUAAUUCCUUCCCCGAAAGGAAACCGUUUAUAUCGAUUGGGCAGGUUCAAACCCCUUAUGCUGCUCUGAUGAUUUCUUUUGAAUUUUAGCGAAGCCCAGAAAGAUUAUUAUUAAUUCAAGCAGCAGAAGCAGAGUCUUGAAAAUCGAUCGUUGGAAUCCACUCAUAUCGAGGAGAUCAGAGUUCGCCGGAAUCAGCGGCCGCGACCGAUGACCCCGCCAGAGCAAGUGAUCGAAGAGCCGGCGCCGUUUUGAAAUGGCAUCUCCUCCGCCAGAGCAAGAGUGAUGGCAGAGCCGGCGCCGUUUGAGAAUGGAUUAGGCUGAUGAGCAAGGCCCCGUCAUGCUUGCCCCAAUGCUUCUGCGUCCAUGUGUCAAGCACCACGCCAAGGCUCCGGCCACUGCCAUCAACUUCCUUCCUCGAAGGGAAAGCGUUUUCGCUUGUCUUAUUUCUACCAAUUCAUUAAUCAGCAGCGGUCGAAUCCAUGCAGCUCUGAUUUCUUGUGAAUUCUUGGCGAAACCCGCAAAGACGCAGGCGGCACAAGCAGAGUGUUGAGAAUGGACAGUUUGUACCCAGUGAAGGAGGAGUAUCCCGGAGCGAGUUCGUCGGAAUUGGGGGAGCAGCCAUUAAUGCCGCCGCCGCAACCGAUGGAGGGGCUUCACGACGUGGGUCCGCCGCCUUUUCUGAGCAAGACGUUUGAGAUGGUGGAUGAUCCAGCGUGCGAUCGGAUAGUUUCUUGGAGCAGAGGCGGCUACAGCUUUGUUGUGGGGGAUCCUCACGCUUUCUCCACCAAUCUCCUCCCCAGAUACUUCAAACACAAUAACUUUUCCAGCUUUGUCAGGCAGCUCAACACUUACGGCUUCAGGAAGAUCGAUCCAGACAGAUGGGAAUUUGCCAAUGAAGCAUUCUUGAGGGGUCAGAAGCAUCUCCUGAGAAACAUCAGAAGAAGAAAGACACCUUCCCAGCAGCAGCAGCAGCAGCAGCAGCUUCCUUCCCAACAAGCCAUAGGCCCAUGUGUCGAAGUAGGAAGAUUCGGCUUAGACGGCGAAGUACAUCGCCUGAGGCGUGACAAGCACGUGCUAAUGAUGGAGCUGGUGAAACUGAGGCAGCAGCAGCAGAACACCAGGGCUCACCUCCAAGCCAUGGAGGUGAGGCUCCAAGGAACAGAGAGGAAGCAGCAACAGAUGACGAGUUUUCUGGCCCGAGCCAUGCAAAACCCGGCAUUUAUCCAGCAAGUAGCCCAGCAGAAAGAGAAAAGAAAGGAGCUGGAAGAAGCCAUUAGCAAGAAGAGACGGCGGCGGAUCGAUCAUGGCCCCGGCGGCUGCUGGGGAGAGUCGAGCUGGGCCCGGGGAGGGGACGAGUUGAGUCCCAUUAAAGCUGAGCCUCUGGAAUUCGAAGAUCUUUAUGGGUUCCAGGUGACGGAGCUGGAGGCGCUGGCCAUGGAAAUACAGGGAUUUGGGAGGGCAGGAAGGGAGCUUGAAGAAGAAGAAGAAGAAGUGGAGGAAUUGGAGAGUGCAGAUAGGGAAAUUGACGAGGGAUUCUGGGAAGAACUAUUGAAUGAGAAAUUCGAGGAAGAGGAGGAGGAGGAAGAAGAAGACUUGAAUGUGUUGGCAAAUCAGUUUGGUCACUUGGAUUCAAGUUCCAAAUAAAAUUAAUUAAUGUGGGCAUCAAUCGGGGGAUUCGAUCAAAUGCAUGCCAUUUGAUUUUCUGCUCGGUAGUAGUGUUAUCUGUUGAUUAAUGUCUGGUUUUGUGUAGUUUAGGUGCUCAGGCGAAGGGGAAGAAGACAAUCAGACUUGGCUAAUCCUAAUCCCAAUCCACUCGGUUACUGGCAAUCACGCCCACGUAUGCUAGUUUUCAAGUACCUUAUCUGUCCCGAAUGUUUCUUUUACCGUUGUCUAGUAGUAACUUUCUUCUGAUUUUUCUGGGUGUUUAUUUCACAGGAAUAACCAACAAAAAGCCUCUGUAACCAUGGAAAAUAUGUCUUGGGGGGGGGGGGCUUUGUUCUUUCUAACUCUACUCGAAGACAAUUGCAUUGCUUCGCCAGAUAUACGAUUUGAUUGCUCCCAAAGAUUGCCCAGCAGCUGUCGAAAAGGAGAUUGUCUGGCUUGACUUGAUCAUCGCCUUCCUAAAACUUCAGUUAAGUGACCCUCUUCCAAUGGUUGGAUUUUUCAUCAUGAACUGCCCUGUUCUUUUAUUGUUUGAUUAAUUGAGACACAGACGCAGGCAAAUAGUGGGCAAUGAAUUUGGUGGUGCAACAUCUAUACCGUGUAAGAUAUUCUCAGAUGCAGCAGCAAGGUCGAAUUGAAACUAAAACAACACAGAUGCACAGAUAGAACAUCCCUCCUUGUAAUUCUCUUUGCUCCUGUAUAAUCAACUCUUGAUUGUUGUUUGGUGAUAGGCACAUGUGAAUGGUGAAUGGACUCAAUUAAUUUUGUCCUAAUAAUUUUUUGGUUAAAAUUUACUAUCCUUUAAUUUGAAGCUUACAAUUUAAGACUCUUAUUCUUAUAAUCUUAUUUUUUAUUGAGAAUAUCUUUUGACAUUAUUUUUUGACUAAAAUUAUAUUUAUAUAUCUGAAAAAUAAAAUAACCACAAUGACCCAAUUAAUCUUAAAUAAUUAUACACAGUUCUAUUUUUAUAAAUCAAUUAAAAAUUAAAAUAUCAAGUUUACCUUUAAGCAAAUGAAAGUAGCUUUCAUUGAUGAUUUGGGGGG